rnacentral:rRNA from 1 species
GCCAGACUCCUACGGGAGGCAGCAGUGGGGAAUAUUGCACAAUGGGGGAAACCCUGAUGCAGCGACGCCGCGUGAGUGAAGAAGUAAUUCGUUAUGUAAAGCUCUAUCAGCAGGGAAGAAAAUGACGGUACCUGAGUAAGAAGCCCCGGCUAACUACGUGCCAGCAGCCGCGGUAAUACGUAGGGGGCAAGUGUUAUCCGGAUUUACUGGGUGUAAAGGGAGCGUAGACGGCAGCGCAAGUCUGGAGUGAAAUGCCGGGGCCCAACCCCGGAACUGCUCUGGAAACUGUGAAGCUGGAGUGCAGGAGAGGUAAGCGGAAUUCCUGGUGUAGCGGUGAAAUGCGUAGAUAUCAGGAGGAACACCGGCGGCGAAGGCGGCUUACUGGACUGUAACUGACGUUGAGGCUCGAAGGCGUGGGGAGCAAACAGGAUUAGAUACCCUAGUAA